rnacentral:rRNA from 1 species
CUUUCUCCGCCGGCGACCGGCGCACGGGUGAGUAACACGUAUGCAACCUGCCCCUGUCAGGGGGACAACCCGCCGAAAGGCGGGCUAAACCCGCGUACAUGCCACCGGGGCAUCCCGGAGGCAGGAAAGGCUUCGGCCGGACAGGGAUGGGCAUGCGGCGCAUUAGGCAGUAGACGGGGUAACGGCCCACCUAACCGACGAUGCGUAGGGGUUCUGAGAGGAAGGUCCCCCACACUGGUACUGAGACACGGACCAGACUCCUACGGGAGGCAGCAG